GGGCGUGAUUGCACCUCUGCUGCUCUGCUAUCUCGGGUGCUCAGAGACAAGGAUCCUAACCCGGCAUGGGGCUAAUAAGAGCGUGUUAUCUGUAUGCAAACCCCUGGGAAAUAGUCGUAAUUGUCUUCGUUUAUCCACAGACCACUGUCUCCAUUUGACCAGUUUCCUGAGGCUUGGAGAAGAGAUCCUCUCCAGAGAUUAUCCAGAUGGGUCUCAUGUAACCAAGUUGGCCUCAGACUCUUGGACCUUGGACUUCUGUCCUGUUUCCAUCUCUGGUGCUCAGGUUUCGGAACUCACCAUCUUCCUACCUCUGUUUCCCAAGUUGUAUGGGCUGCUGCACCUGGCUGACAUGGUAUCUCAGUUUGUGUUUCUAUUGCUGUGAAGAGACACCAUGGCCGAGGCAACAUA
ensembl:processed_transcript Gm9967 predicted gene 9967